rnacentral:rRNA from 1 species
GAGGAACGCUGGCGGCGUGCCUAAUACAUGCAAGUCGAGCGAACAGACGAGGAGCUUGCUCCUCAGACGUUAGCGGCUCACGGGUGAGUAACACGUGGAGAACCUACCUAUAAGACUGGUAUAACUUCGUGAAACCGGAGCUAAUACCGGAUAAUAUAUUGAACCGCAUGGUUCAAUAGUGAAAGACGGUUUUGCGGUCACGUAUAGAUGGAUCCGCGCCGCAUUAGCUAGUUGGUAAGGUAACGGCUUACCAAGGCAACGACGCGUAGCCGACCUGAGAGGCUGAUCCGCUACACUGGAUGAGACACGCGCAGCAGACUCCCAAGGGAUGCAGCAGUACAGACUUUUCACCCAUAGGAGAGAGAGUGACGGAGCAACACCGCCAGAGAGCUCAAGGUCUGACGAGCGCAAGACUCUGCUGUUGGGGCCCAACAAAUCUCUCAGUAACUACGCCCGAAUCGACGGCCCCUGCUCAGAAAGCAACGCCUCACUACGUG